UACGUAGGGGUGCGAGCGUUAAUCGGAAUUACUGGGCGUAAAGUGUGCGCAGGCGGCGCCGCAAGUCGAGUGUGAAAGCCCCCGGGCUUAACUUGGGAAUUGCGCUCGAAACUAUGGUGCUGGAGUGUGGCAGAGGAAGGUGGAAUUCCACGUGUAGCGGUGAAAUGCGUAGAGAUGUGGAGGAACACCGAUGGCGAAGGCGGCAUCCUGGACCGGCAUUGACGCUGAGGCGCGAAAGCCAGGGGAGCAAA
rnacentral:rRNA from 1 species